rnacentral:tRNA from 1 species
UCUAAUAUGGCAGAUUAGUGCAAUAGAUUUAAAUUCUAUAAAUAUAUUAUUUAAUAUUAUUAGAA